UGUUACAUCAGAACUUUUGACCGUGUGGACCGAUUUCGACAAUUUUUUUUAAUCGAAAGGUAGUGUGUGCCAAUUGGUCCCAUUUAAAUUUAUUUGAGAUCUAACAACUACUUUUCGAGUUAUAUCUAAUAAUGCGUUUUUACUUGACGCUUUUUUCGUCGACCUACGUUGUAUUAUACUGCAUAACUUUGUACUGGAUGUACCGAUUUUGAUAAUUCUUUGUUUGUUGGAAAGAGGAUAUCCUUACAUACAGACAGCGGAAGAGC
rnacentral:misc_RNA from 1 species